GCUUACGGCCAUACCACCCUGAGCAAGCCCGGUCUCGUCUGAUCUCGGAAGCUAAGCAGGGUGAGGCCUCGUUAGUACUUGGAUGGGAGACCGACUGGAAAUACCAGGUACUGUAUGCU
rnacentral:rRNA from 1 species